GAUGAACGCUGGCGGCGUGCUUAACACAUGCAAGUCGAACGGAGUGAAUAAAACGGAAGUUUUCGGAUGGAAGAUUUAUUUACUUAGUGGCGGACGGGUGAGUAACGCGUGGGUAACCUGCCGUAUACAGGGGGAUAACACUUAGAAAUAGGUGCUAAUACCGCAUAAGCGCACAGCUUCGCAUGAAGCAGUGUGAAAAGCCUUGACGGUAUACGAUGGACCCGCGUCUGAUUAGCUAGUUGGUGAGGUAGAGGCUCACCAAGGCGACGAUCAGUAGCCGGCCUGAGAGGGUGACCGGCCACAUUGGGACUGAGACACGGCCCAAACUCCUACGGGAGGCUG
rnacentral:rRNA from 1 species